GAUGAAGAACGCAGUGAAAUGCGAUACGUAAUGUGAAUUGCAGAAUUCAGUGAAUCAUCGAGUCUUUGAACGCACAUUGCGCCCCCUGGUAUUCCCGGGGGCAUGCCUGUCCGAGCGUCAUUGCUGCCCUCAAGCACGGCUUGUGUGUUGGGCCUCCGUCCUCCUCCCGGGGGACGGGCCCGAAAGGCAGCGGCGGCACCGCGUCCGGUCCUCGAGCGUAUGGGGCUUCGUCACCCGCUCUUGUAGGCCCGGCCGGCGCUUGCCGACACAUCAAUCUUUUUUCCAGGUUGACCUCGGAUCAGGUAGGGAUACCCGCUGAACUUAAGCAUAUCAAUAAGCGGAGGA
rnacentral:misc_RNA from 1 species